GCAGUGUAUUCUAGAGAUUUUCAAAUUAAUUUUAUUGCGAAGUGUCCUCUCUUAACUGAAUUUUGAAGCAGUCUUCAGCAAUAUUGAAGCAGUCUUUAGUAUUUUAUUGAAGCAGUCUGAAGCAAUACUGAAUGCAGUCGUUAUUAUUAAAGAUUGUUAUUUAACAUUAGAUGUUCGAGAAAUAACAUUUUGAAGAAAUCAACUGUAAAAAUUAGAUUUCGAAUUACAAAGUAUAAAUGAAGAUUCGGAAGCGUACAAAUGUUUGACACAGCGUCUUCAUUAAGCGAGGAUACUCUUCAAAAUGAUCAGAAGACAGCUGAUCGUUAUGCAAAAUAAGAAUUUUCCGACUAAAUUGUGUUAAAUACUACUUGCGCUUUAUCAGGACCACACUGCAUGUAAUCUCGAGCAUCGCAGAGAUUUACAACAUCGAAGGAUGGAUUAAACGAAAUUCUCCGGGGAUUAGUUUUCUGUUUUAUAGAUAGAGAUCGCUGAGGAAUCCAGUUCCACAAGGAUGUAACGAUCUUCCUUCGUUUCUUCGAUCGAACUUCAGCAACGCUGAAUCGAUAGAUGCACACUUGUCGCUACAGUGACAAAUACGGCUUUCGAAACUUAAUCUUAAGUCUAGUCGACAAUUUGAACGUUCGUUUUGAUGAGAGGCGAGGAAAUUGCUGUUAAUUACGUGCUGAUAAAUAAUUCCAAAGAGAUCAUAAUUAGCGAAAUGAAAACAUUGGAAUGUGUGCUUCGCAAUUUGUUUUGCAUGAGAAUCAUUAACGCUGAAACUAUCAAAAGAUGAAAUUAUAGUUUGCAUUGCCUUCUAAAAAUGUGAAGACUGCAUUUAUCGAAACAGAGCAAGAUUUUUGCAUCAUUAUAAUGUUAGUCAUAGUGAAAUAGGGGAGAAUCUAUCUUUAAAUAAAUCUUAUCUUAUAAUAAAAAGGCUGUUAUAAUUUUUAUACUAA